GCGCCUUUUUUGAACUCUUUUAACUCUAACAAUACACCGUUGAGUUCAACAGCAUUGUUGCACUUAAUGGACGUGCUGCAGGUUUCACACAUGUUGGUAAAUUUCAGCUCUUUAUGAGUUACAUAGCCAGCAAGAUGGUAAAGGAUGUUUGUCUCUGUUAAGGUCAGUGUAGGUGCUGUGAGCUCAGGUGUUAGUAGCUGCUCUACUCUGACUGUGGAUGGUACGCUGACUUGACCAAAGUGAGAUGGUGUUAGACAGGCUAAAGUAAGGCUCGGGGCAAGUUUUAAAGCCAUAUUUUCCUGGAAACGGACUAGGUCAGCCAGAUGUGCUGCUGAUACAGUAUUAGAUGGUAGUUUGUAUUUAGUCACAAUUUCACUGGGCACCUGAAAAACCUGCCCCCGGACCAGGGCACCUUUUCAGAUUUUUGAUCAGGUGUGGUACAUCUGGCAUGAAGUAAAGUCGUCUUCCUGGUGUUGUUGGAUGUGGGACAGAUGUGCUGUUUAGACCGACACCAAAUGCUUUCCACAUUGCCCGGUUUGCACUUCCCAUGUCAGUGGUCACAUGUAAGCCAAUGCUUGCGGCCAGUGCCACUAUUUUGCAUACAAUGGGCUUGUACACGGCACCAUUAGUUGAAUUGCCGGUAUAGUGGUACGCCACCACUUGCUUCCACCUGGUAGUCGUUCCUGACAGCAUGAAAACACAUGCGUGUGUGGCUUGCCCAGUAUGAUCUGGCAAGGUGACAUUGCCAUAGAGUUUUCCUGUCUGGAUGUUUAGUUCGACACUGGGGGUGAUCGCCAUUUCAUCAAUUGUUCUUAUUGCUGGUAAGGGGAACUGCAAUUCCUGCAGGGAUUUAUAGCCUGUUGGACCAGCAGCAAAGCGGAUUUUAAGAGCCUUCUUAAUGGUAACAUUACUCCACUUUAGGCCUUUGGUGGAUAUUCGGCCUAAUGCCCUAAUUUGGUCAUUGGUAAAUAUUUUCUUUAAUUUCAUGUCUCUAAUUUCAAUAGUCCUUUUUAGAGCUGCAUUUUCUCUCUGAAGCUUUCUAAUGUUUCCUUUUGCUUUGGUAAGUAUUAUUUCUUGUCUAUGUAAACUUUUUUUUAGCUCAGAUUCACUAGCUGUUGGCUCAUUUCCUCACUCUCCUGAUUUCCAUCCUCAGUUGACACGUCCUCUCUCUCUCUUCCCUCAAUUUCCCUCUCACUCUCCUCACCUCCUCUGUCCUCAGUGUCAAACACUAAUGUAAAUAGAAGACAGCACAUUGUUUAUCAUAAAAUGUCAUAAAACUACAUUUGAAACCGCACUUCAAAUUAAAAAAGAUUAAUAUAGUUGUUCUGUUUAUCACCUUU